rnacentral:rRNA from 1 species
UACGUAGGGCGCAAGCGUUGUCCGGAAUUAUUGGGCGUAAAGAGCUCGUAGGCGGUCUGUUACGUCUGCUGUGAAAACCCAGGGCUUAACCCUGGGCUUGCAGUGGAUACGGGCAGACUAGAGGCAGGUAGGGGAGAAUGGAAUUCCCGGUGUAGCGGUGAAAUGCGCAGAUAUCGGGAGGAACACCCGUGGCUAAGGCGGCUCUCUAGUACGGUACUGACGCUGAGACGCGAAAGCGUGGGGAGCGAACAGG